rnacentral:snRNA from 1 species
AUCGCUUCUCGGCCUUUUGGCUAAGAUCAAGUGUAGUAUCUGUUCUUAUCAGUUUAAUAUCUGAUACGUCCCCUACCCGGGGACCAUAUAUUAAAUAGCUUUUUGGAACAGGGAGAUGGAAUAGGGGCUUGCUCCGUCCACUCCACGCAUCGACCUGGUAUUGCAGUAUCUCCAGGAACGGUGCACUCCCU